CAUUCAAGUCCCUCUAGAAUCUAGGCCCUCCCAAUAAUUUCUUCCUCAUCAUACUCACUUCCGAUCUGAGUUAACUCGUUCAUAUCUAUCUUUGCAAACUGAUUUUAUUCCCGGGUUCUGUGAGCUGUCUGUAAAUUUGUCAAGAAAAUGCAACUCUGCUGUUUCUCUUCCCGAUGGAGAGAAAAAGAAACAAAAGAUUUCUGAAAUCCAAGCAACUUUGGAUGAUGCUAGUGUUUUGGUAAUGCAAAGCUUCCACCUUUAUUUUGUCAUAAGUUUUCUCUCAGUACUAAUCUCAAAUGAGUUGUAUUUUCCUAGAUUUGAAAAAUGGAUCUUGAGGCAAGAAGCUUGUAGCCAAGCUUGAAGCCUACACUACUUGCUAAGCUCAGGGGAUAUAAAUCCGAUCUAAAUAAGUUGAAAAGGGAAGUGAAAAAACUAGCUUUGCCUAAUUCAAAUGUUCCUGGCCAUGCAGAUUUGUUAGAAUUUGGAAUGGCUGGUGCAAAUUCAGUAUACUUCUAUGCAAUUGCCCUUCUGAUUUUUUUCAUCCUUAAUAUAUAUCGUAUAUAUAUAUAUUGCAUGGAGAAUCGCAAUUGGCUUCGACAAUGUAAAGCAUCAUUUAGCCCCACAGGAAAUAAUUCAAUUGUAUCUGGUUGCACAGUAAGUGAAGACUUCUAUUUUACCAUUAAUAGAGUCGUGCAAAGAUUAUCCUUGAGAAUUAUUUACUUUUUUUAAAUAGGUAAUUUAAUAAAAACAGACCUCACUUAUGGUGAAGGAAUACUGUGGUGACAAUAUAGCCUUACAAAUAGCAAACUAAAAAGCUAGACAAAUCAACUUACUUACGUAAAUAUGGCAUUCCUAUGUGGUCCAACCGAUCAAGGCCACGAGCAUGCACAGGCAAGUCAUUAGUAGAUGUAAAAUGCUGCAUCACACCUUAUGCCCCCAUUUUUGCUAAUGAAUCCGCCACUUGAUUUGCUUCCCUGAACUGGUAUGAAACUUGUAUAUCAAAUAAACUCAUUAAAUUCAAUAACUCCUCCCAAAAAUCCCACAAAUACCAAAUUGUGCACUUGCGUUUCAACAUCCAUUCCACAACGAUUUUGGAAUUACAUUCAAUAUCAACCUAAAAAACUCCUAUAUGCUGGCAAAGUUUAGGCCCCUCAAUAAUAGCUCUUAGCUCAGCUUCGUUAUUCGAUGCUAUCCCAAAAUUGCUUGCAAACGCCGCUAGCACCAUUCAUUUGUCAUUGUGUAUCACUCUUCCUCUACCUGCCUGUCCUAGGUUUCCUAAACUACUCCUAUCUACAUUGAUCGUUACUCUCCUAUCCAUUGGUUUUUUCUACGUCACCAAGUGUGUAGGUAAUAUUUUCCUUACCACACAAGGAAUGCCCAUAUCUUUUAGGAUAUUUUCCUCCUCAUAUGUCAAUACUCUUGUCUUUGUAACAUUAUUUGCCAAUUGUUGCAGCCAAGAUUUAAUAGACAAAACAUCUUCAAUUGAUUCAUUAAGACCCUCCAUCUUUGCUCUACAUCUUUGAAUCCAAAGUCUCCAAGUUGCUAAACAUGGGAUUAGCCCCUGUAAGCAUCCUAAUUGAGAGGACCUAUUGGCUUGAGCCCAGCAAAUUUGUAUCCUAUCCCACCAUGCUUGCUUUUCAUACCACCUAACACCAAGGAUAGAGGAAAGUCUCCUUCACACCUCGUCUGCGAAUUCUCCAGAGCUUAAGAUAUGGUUAGCAUCCUCCUCAUGGCUAGCUGUGCAACAAUUACAUCGAGAUACCAUAGCCACUCCAACUUGACAAAUCUUAUCAUCAACACUAAGCUUUCCCGACAAGGCUUUCCACAUCACAACUGAAGCCCUCUUAGGAAGGGCAGUAUGCCACACCCAUUGCAACCACUCCACUAUGGAAGCCCUCGCUCGAAUCACAUCCUAAGCAUUUUUGGUUGAGAAUCUUCCUUGUACAUUUGGUCUCCAUAUGAGAAUAUCCUUUUUAGAUUUUUGACCUUCUACUUUUCUCAUUAUGCUUGUUGCCAUGUCGAUCCCUACUAACUGACCCAACCUAUCAAUAUCCUAGGCAAUUUCCAAGCAGAUUUCACGAACCUUCAAACUAGGUUGAACAAUCUGAUCCACUCUUUGGCAAAGUGGGCCCUCUUCUAACCAUUUAUCGUACCAAAUGAUAUUUUUCCUUCCCUAAUCUUUCAUUGGCUAUUAGCAACCACAUCAGGGAAACAAUCCAUCAAAAAUUUCCAAAACCUUGAGCCCAUAUGACCCAGGUUUUCUACAUCCACCAAACCCUUUGGUGUAUAUUUUGAUUUGAAAAAGCGGGCCCACAACAAAUCAACAGUAAGCACUUUCCAAGCAAAUUUCAUGUGGAGAGACUUUUGAAUUUCUUCAAACCUACAAAUCCCAAGGCCUCCCUCCAUUAGUGGUGUACAAAUUUUCUUCCAUGAGCACCAUUUUUCCUAUUUCUUCCAUUAAUCUCUCCCCAAAGAAAGAGGAUAAUAUGGAAUUUAAGGUCGUGAAAACUGAUUUAGGAACACUUAGAACAGAUAAUAAAUGGGUUGCCAUACAUGAUAAAACAUGUCUCAAUAACACAAGACGACCUCCUUGUGAUAAAAGUUGUCUUUUCCAUCCUGCAAUCUUUUUUUUUUUUUGAAUUUUCUUCACUAAAAGCUGUAGAUGACGAGCAUUCAAUCUUUCUACCACCACUGGCACCCCAAAUAAGUUAUUGGAAAAAAGCCCUCUCUGAAAGAACUUAACCGAAGAACCUCAUUCUUGCGAGAUGCCCCAUAAUGUUUAGCAAAGAAAAUAGCUAACUUCUCUUUAUUGAUAACUUGGCCUAUCCAUUUUUCAUAUAAUUGAAAGGUCUCCAUUAAAGCUUUUAUCGAUCUUUUACUUCCAUUAGCAAAGUUUACAAUAUCAUUAGCAUAUAGCAAAUGCGAAUCGAAUGUGCACCUCAGGGAUGUGAAUAAACACCUAUGCAGCCAUCUACGAAUUUUUUUUCUCACUAGCCUAGUCAACACAUCUUCCUUGAUAAUAAAUAAAUAUGGGGACAUAGGAUCACCUUGCCUCAGUUAAUAUUAGGAUUUGGUAUCUUUUAUGGUUUUCUUUUUCAAUUCCUAGAUCAACUGGAAAAUUAAGUGAUAGAUGUCAAUGUCAUGAUGAGAUUGUAUAGAUUAGCUAGAUUUAACCAAGAUGAAUGUUUGUUCAAAAUGUCAAUAUAGUUAUGUUCUCACUUUCUAUUAUCCUAUUUUAUUAUGCUAUGUUAGCUUUUACCAAAGAGAAGAGUUGAGCAGCGUUUGACUUGGGUAUCCUCCUUAGACAUAUUUUUCAACUAAAUUAGUGCUUAUCUCAUUGUUGCUGACUCUACAUAUGAUAAUUUCAACUGAGAGGGUCAACCAAUCAACUGACAGAAUCAAGGAAAGUCGACGUGCUACACUAGAGACAGAAGAGCUCGAAGUGUCAAUUCUUGAAGAUUUGCAAUAGCAACGUGAAACUCUCUUGCAUUCCCAUAAGAAGGCAUGUGUCACUUUCCAAGAGUUCUUAGCUCCCAUUUCGCCCCCAUCUUUUGAAAUGAAAAUUGUAUUUUUCAACAGAAAAUGUAAAAAUAGAUGUAAACUUACAUCUUCUUUCAUCCAUGAGAGGCAAAAAGUGGAUUUAGAUCUUCCAAUUUGAGCAAAAUUUGAAUUUAGAUACAUUGGAAUGUAAAUGAGAAUGCAAAAGUGAUUUUAAAGAUAUCAAUUUACACCCAAUUUUACAUCA